rnacentral:rRNA from 1 species
GACGAACGCUGGCGGCGUGCUUAACACAUGCAAGUCGAGCGGGCGUAGCAAUACGUCAGCGGCGGACGGGUGAGUAACGCGUGAGCAAUCUGCCUCUACCAACGGGAUAACACUUAGAAAUAGGUGCUAAUACCGUAUAAGACCACGAGCCUGCAUGGGCAUGUGGUAAAAGCUCCGACGGGUAGAGAUGAGCUCGCGUCCCAUUAGCUAGUUGGUAGGGUAACGGCCUACCAAGGCGACGAUGGGUAGCCGACCUGAGAGGGUGAUCGGCCACAUUGGAACUGAGAAACGGUCCAA